AGUGAACGCUGGCGGUAGGCCUAACACAUGCAAGUCGAACGGCAGCACAGUAAGAGCUUGCUCUUACGGGUGGCGAGUGGCGGACGGGUGAGGAAUACAUCGGAAUCUACUUUUUCGUGGGGGAUAACGUAGGGAAACUUACGCUAAUACCGCAUACGACCUACGGGUGAAAGCAGGGGAUCUUCGGACCUUGCGCGAUUGAAUGAGCCGAUGUCGGAUUAGCUAGUUGGCGGGGUAAAGGCCCACCAAGGCGACGAUCCGUAGCUGGUCUGAGAGGAUGAUAAGCCAAAGUGGAAGAGAGACACGGACCAGACCACUGGGGGAGGCAGAAGGGGGAAAUGUGGGACAGGGGGGGGAAGCCUGACCCACCCAUCGCGGGGGGGAGAAGAAGGCCUUGGGGUUGUAAAGCCUUUUUGUGGGAAAAAAAAAGCAGGAGGUUAAUACCCCGGUUUUCGGACGGUACCAAAAAAAAAAGCACCGGCUAAUUUCGUG
rnacentral:rRNA from 1 species